AUUGAACGCUGGCGGCAGGCCUAACACAUGCAAGUCGAGCGCGAAAGUCUUCGGAUGAGUAAAGCGGCGGACGGGUGAGUAAUGCAUGGGAAUCUGCCUGGUAGUGGGGGACAACGUUUCGAAAGAGACGCUAAUACCGCAUACGCCCUACGGGGGAAAGGGGGGGAUCUUCGGACCUCUCGCUAUCAGAUGAGCCCAUGUCAGAUUAGCUAGUUGGUAGGGUAAAGGCCUACCAAGGCGACGAUCUGUAACUGGUCUGAGAGGAUGAUCAGUCACACUGGAACUGAGACACGGUCCAGACUCCUACGGGAGGCAGCAGUGGGGAAUAUUGGACAAUGGGGGCAACCCUGAUCCAGCCAUGCCGCGUGUGUGAAGAAGGCCUUAGGGUUGUAAAGCACUUUCAGUGGGGAGAAAGGUUAUUCACCUAAUACGUGAGUAAAUUGAUGCUACCCACAGAAGAAGCACCGGCUAGCUCCGUGCCAGCCGCCGCAGUAA
rnacentral:rRNA from 1 species